GUGCUUUGGCAGCACAUAUACUAAAAUUUGGAAGAUACAGAGAAGAUUAACAUGGCCUCUGCACAAGGAUGACAUGCAAAUCUGUGAAGUGUUCAAUAUUUUU